GUGUCAGCCGCCGCGGUAAUACGUAGGGUGCGAGCGUUAAUCGGAAUUACUGGGCGUAAAGCGUGCGCAGGCGGUUUUGUAAGUCAGAUGUGAAAUCCCCGAGCUCAACUUGGGAACUGCGUUUGAAGCUACAAGACUAGAAUAUGUCAGAGGGGGGUAGAAUUCCACGUGUAGCAGUGAAAUGCGUAGAGAUGUGGAGGAAUACCAAUGGCGAAGGCAGCCCCCUGGGAUAAUAUUGACGCUCAUGCACGAAAGCGUGGGGAGCAAACAGGAUUAGAUACCCUGGUAGUCCACGCCCUAA
rnacentral:rRNA from 1 species